CGGGGACCCGCGCUGCCGGCCCCGAGCCCCGCUGCCGGCCCCGAGCCCCGCUGCCGGCCCCAUGGGCACCGGCCGCUGCCUCCCCUGCUGUGCCCCGCGCGAGCGGAGCCGGCGGUGAGGCCGUGCCGGGCGGGGGCUGCCCGCCGGGCGGGGGCUGCCCGCCGGGCGGUUCCCCUCAGAGCGGCCGCGGCCGGGCCGUUGGGGACGGUGUGUGUGCGGCCCGGGGGCUCGGCGGGCCUGGCAGCGCAGGAGCGUCUGCGGCUGGAGUGCUGCAGCGGGCCCUGUGAGGGGCACUUAGACCUGCAGUCGGAGCAGCAGCCUCUAGGGCAUUUCUAUGGUGAAAGUAUCCAAAAUACUGUCCCAGACACUUCAGUGUAGGAGUCCAGCUACCAGAGGUGAGAGAGCAGUGUUGCGAGUUCCUGGAGGCUGCUGUCUGUGUGACCAUGUGUUUACUAAACUUGAAGGGAUACAAAUAUGAUUCUUGGGAAGAAAUCGGCUGGAAACAAUUCCUGGUGAAGUGUCAGAACAGCCUUUGAACCCACAGUGUUGUCCCCAUGUCCUGAAGCAGCACAAGAGCAGGGCUGGUGCUACUGCCACCACCUUCUUCAUUUUUACAGUGGAGAAUUCCUUUAGCCUGAGCAAUAAAACACCUGGAAAACUCCAGCACCCCCAAA